rnacentral:rRNA from 1 species
GACGAACCGUGCAAACGUUAUUCGGAAUCACUGGGCUUAAAGGGUGCGUAGGCUGGUUUCCAAGUCAGGGGUGAAAUCGUUCGGCCCAACCGGACAAGGGCCCCUGAUACUGGAGAUCUCGAGGGAGGUAGGGGUCGAUGGAACUAAUGGUGGAGCGGUGAAAUGCGUAGAUAUCAUUAGGAACGCCGGUGGCGAAAGCGAUCGACUGGACCUCUUCUGACGCUGAGGCACGAAAGCCAGGGGAGCAAACGGG